rnacentral:rRNA from 1 species
CUCCUUCGGCGAACUGCUCAGUAACACCCCGGAUAAUCUGCCCUUAGGUGGAGGAUAACCUCGGGAAACUGAUUAAUAAUACUCCAUAGAUCUUUGAGGCUGGAAUGCGCUAAGAUUGAAAGCUUCGGCGCCUAAGGAUGAGUCUGCGGACUAUCAGGUUGUAGUCAGGGUAAAGACCUGACUAGCCUACGACGGAUACGGGUUGUGAGAGCAAUAACCCGGAGAUGAUAUCUGAGACACGAUAUCAGGCUCUACGGGGCGCAGCAGGCGCGAAAACUUCACAAUGCGCGAAAGCGCGAUGAGGGGAUCCCAAGUGCUUGCACGUAAGUGUAAGCUGUUUUUCUGUUUAAAAAGCAGAGAGAGUAAGAGCUGGGUAAGACGGGUGCCAGUCGCCGCGGUAAUACCUGCAGCUCAAGUGGUGGCCGCUAUUAUUGGGCCUAAAACGUCCGUAGCCGGCUAAGUAAAUGCCUGGGUAAAUCGUGCCGCUUAACGGUACGAAUUCCGGGUAGACUGCUUAGCUUGGGACCGGAAGAAGUUAGAGGUACUCCUGGGGUAGGGGUGAAAUCCUGUAAUCCUGGGGGGACCACCAGUGGCGAAGGCGUCUAACUAGGACGGGUCUGACGGUGAGGGACGAAGCCCUGGGGCGCAAACCGGAUUAGAUACCCGGGUAGUCCAGGGUGUAAACGCUGCUUGCUUGAUGUUAGCUGGGCUCCGAGCUCAGCUAGUGUCGGAGAGAAGUU